rnacentral:rRNA from 1 species
AACGAACGCUGGCGGCAUGCCUAACACAUGCAAGUCGAACGAGACCUUCGGGUCUAGUGGCGCACGGCUGCGUAACGCGUGGGAACCUGCCCUUAGGUUCGGCAUAACUCCCCGAAAGGGGUGCUAAUACCGGAUAAUGUCUUCUGACCAAAGAUUUAUCGCCUUUGGAUGGGCCCGCGUUUGAUUAGCUAGUUGGUAGGGUAAAAGCCUACCAAGGCGACGAUCCAUAGCUUGUCUGAGAGGAUGAUCAGCAACACUGGGACUGAGACACGGCCCAGACUCCUCCGGGAGGGAGAAGUGGGGAAUAUUGGACACUGGGCGAAAGACUGAGCCAGUAAUGCCGCGUGAGUGAUGAAGGAGUUAGGGUUGUAAAGCUAUUUUACCCGGGAUGAUAAUGACAGAACCGGGAGAAUAAGCUCCGGCUAAUUCCGU